rnacentral:rRNA from 1 species
CAGCGGUGAAAGUUGCAGCUUAACUGUAAAAAUGCCGUUGAAACUGUCGGGACUUGAGUGUAAAUGAGGUAGGCGGAAUGCGUGGUGUAGCGGUGAAAUGCAUAGAUAUCACGCAGAACUCCCGAUUGCGAAGGCAGCUUACUAAGCUACAACUGACACUGAAGCACGAAAGCGUGGGGAUCAAACAGGAUUAGAUACCCUGGUAGUCCACGCAGUAAACGAUGAUUACUAGCUGUUUGCGAUACACAGUAAGCGGCACAGCGAAAGCGUUAAGUAAUCCACCUGGGGAGUACGCCGGCAACGGUGAAACUCAAAGGAAUUGACGGGGGCCCGCACAAGCGGAGGAACAUGUGGUUUAAUUCGAUGAUACGCGAGGAACCUUACCCGGGUUUGAACGUAGGGAGACAGGAGUGGAAACAUUCUAUUCAGCAAUGACUGCCUACGAGGUGCUGCAUGGUUGUCGUCAGCUCGUGCCGUGAGGUGUCGGCUUAAGUGCCAUAACGAGCGCAACCCUUAUUUCCAGUUACUAACAGGUGAAGCUGAGGACUCUGGAGAGACUGCCAGCGUAAGCUGUGAGGAAGGUGGGGAUGACGUCAAAUCAGCACGGCCCUUACAUCCGGGGCGACACACGUGUUACAAUGGUAAGGACAAAGGGCAGCUACCGGGCGACCGGAUGCGAAUCUCUAAACCUUAUCUCAGUUCGGAUCGGAGUCUGCAACUCGACUCCGUGAAGCUGGAUUCGCUAGUAAUCGCGCAUCAGCCAUGGCGCGGUGAAUACGUUCCCGGGCCUUGUACACACCGCCCGUCAAGCCAUGGGAGCCGGGGGUACCUGAAGUUCGUAACCGCAAGGAUCGACCUAGGGUAAAACUGGUGACUGGGGCUAAGUCGUAACAAGGUAGCCG